GGAGACAUGUGAAACCAGCUGUGACACCACAAAGGGCAAGAGGAAUCUGUAUCUACAAGUGAGGCGACAGCGAUGGGCUGGAAGGUGACAAGUCAUUUACUCGCUGUGGGACGCCGAGCAAAUCCCCUCGUCUUUCGUCUUUUGGAAAGGGAUGAUGCCUGCCAUCCACCUCAUAGGACAUUGUGAUGAAUACACAAGAUAAUGAUAUGAUAAUCACAAAAGAAAGCUGCUGUUUAUCCACAUGAACAAACGGAUGUAAACUUGACAACCUUGGUUUUGUUUCUCUCACUACCUGUCAUAUGGUGCAUCUGGUGAUCCAACCUUCUGAAGCCUGACUCGCUGGUGCUCUUAGCAAGUAAGCUGCUGCUUUUUUCUCUAAAUGGGUCCAGCUAUUCCUGGAGGUUCCACUGGGAUAAAGGUCUAU